rnacentral:rRNA from 1 species
UUGAUCCUGGCUCAGAACGAACGCCGGCGGCAUGUUUUAAGCAUGCAAGUCGAACGGUAGAAGGUCUUCGGACUUUUGAGAGUGGCGAACGGGUGAGUAACACGUCGGUAAUCUGUCUUAGGGGUUGGGGAUAACCCAUGGAAACAUGGGGUAAUACCGAAUAGCUCCCUUUCAGCACAAGAGGGAAGGGGGAAAGGCGCUUAGGCGCCGCCUUAGGGUGAGCCUGCGGUCCAUUAGUUAGUUGGUGGGGUAAGAGCCUACCAAGGCAGCGAUGGAUAGCCGGCCUGAGAGGGUGAACGGCCACACUGGGACUGAGACACGGCCCAGACUCCUACGGGAGGCAGCAGCUAAGAAUCUUCCGCAAUGGGCGAAAGCCUGACGGAGCGAUGCCGCGUGAGUGAAGAAGGCGGGAACGUUGUAAAACUCUUUUCUCGGGGAGGAAUAAGGAGGGGAGGUAAUGCCCCUUUGAUGACGCGAACCGAGGAAUAAGCCCCGGCUAAUUACGUGCCAGCAGCCGCGGUAACACGUAAGGGGCGAGCGUUGUCCGGAAUUAUUGGGCGUAAAGGGCGUGUAGGCGGCGAUGUAAGCCUGGUGUGAAAGACUUCAGCUUAACUGGAGAGCCGCGCUGGGAACUAUGUCGCUUGAGUAUAGGAGGGGGAGCUGGAAUUCCAGGUGUAGGGGUGAAAUCUGUAGAUAUCUGGAAGAACACCGGAGGCGAAGGCGAGCUCCUGGCCAUAUACUGACG